GGAGGGGUGGCAGAGUGGUCGAAUGCACCUCACUGCUAACGAGGCAGGGGCUUAAAAACCCCUCGAGGGUUCGAAUCCCUCCCCCUCCG
rnacentral:tRNA from 1 species